AAUUAAAAAAUACAACUAAAUCAGUUCGGGAUAACGUUAGAUAAUUCUAAGUAAAGUUCUGGGUAAAUUUUGAUAAUGACAUUAUUUAUUUAUAAGUCUUGACUAAAUCACGUGCCAGCAGUCGCGGUAAUACGUGAAAGACAAGUGUUAUUCAUCUUUAUUUGGUUUAAAGGGUACGUAGACAGUUAAUUAAGCCUAAAGCAGGAACUAAUUAUACUAGAGUUUGAUAAAAAAAGGUUAGAGAGCGAUAAUGUAGGGAUGAAAUCUUUUAAGAUUAUUUUGAACUGGUAACGGCGAAAGCAACCUUUUAUGUAAAAACUGACGUUAAGGGACGAAGGCUCAAGGAGAUAACGGGAUUAGGUACCCCAGUAUUUUGAGCAGACAAUGAUGAGUGUCAUAUAUUAGUUAACCAAUUAAUAUAUAAAUGAAAGUGUAAGCACUCCACCUUAAGAGUAAUAUGGCAACAUAGGAACUGAAAUCAUUAGGCCGUUUCUGAAACAAGUAGUGAAGUAUGUUGUUUAAUUUGAUGGUCCACGUAAAACCUUACCACAAUUUGUAUAUAGGUAUACACUUAAAAAUGUAUAUUUAUACAAGCAUUGCACGGCUGUCAUCAGUUAAUGUCGUGAGAUUUUGGUUAGCUCCAUAAAAUUAACGUAAACCCUUACUUUAUUUUUAACAUAAAGUAGUCGACCACUAUAACGGUUAUGAUAUAAGGGACUAGGACAAGUCAUCAUGGUCUAAAUAUUGU
rnacentral:rRNA from 1 species